UUCAAUCAGUGUGCUUCCCCUAACAGAAGGUGAUAAGCAACAUUAAGAAAUAAAUGUUUCUUAGUUCAGAGAAGGAAAGAAUGGUUUCAAUUAGGGGCUGGAGGAGGAAGCCUUGAAGCUGGACCCUGAUGUCUGAAUAAGGGUUUAACAGGUGGAGGGGAAAUAAAUUUUCAAACAAUAAGAAGGGCAUUGGUAAAAACUUUGAGCAAGGUAAGGAAGAGAUGUGUUCAGAAAAAAAGGAAUGGUAUGAUUUGGCUAUAAUUCAAGUUACAAGUAAAGGAGUACUGGGAGAAAACUAAAAAAGCAUUUUUUAUUGCAGGAAGAGGGGUUGAAGAUAAGAUUGAGGAGCAACUGAGGGUUUCUGGGACAGGGGAGUAACAAGUUUGUGAGUGGGAAGCAUUAGAAGAACAGGAACUGGAAGCCAGGUAGUGAAGAUAGGAAGGAUACUGUUGCUAUUGUGCGUUCCAAGGCAUAAGUCCUAUCAGCUAUCUCCUGAACAUCCCUUCCUCUCUUUUACAGUGUCCUAGUUAUUACUGCUUGGAUCAGUAAUGGUCCAAAGUCUUGACUGAAGGAAGAAAAUAAAGUCAAGGGAGAAACUGAAGACAACCUAUACUGUGGAAUACUGAGGUGAAUAAAACAUAGCUAUUGGCCUUAGAAAACUUACAGAUUCUUGAAGAAGCAAGCAUCUAAUUACAUCUGUUCAGUCACUCAGACAUGUCCAACUCUUUGUGACCCUAUGGACUGUAACCUGCCAGGCUCCUCUGCUCAAGGGAUUUUUCAGGCAAGAAUACUAGAUUGGGUUGCAAUUUCCUCCUCAAUGAUUACAAUACAGCAUGCUGAAAGCACAAGGAAUAGAGCCAUUGUAGUCACUUUUCUAUGAUGUACUGUUAAAUACAAUUCUAAGUAAUAAGAAGAGUACUGGAGUUUGGUGGUAAAGAGUUCAAGAGAAACUUCCCAGGCAUAGGAAACAAUGAGAUUCACAAAGAUGUGGAGUGAGAAGCUCAAUAUGAAGAAACUGUAAGGAAACCAACUGAUUGGAGUUAUGAAGAGAAGGAGACCAGAGAUGAAGUUGUAGAGGUGAGUAAAGGCCAGUUCCUUGUAACCCAUAUUAAGGAGUGUGAGCUUUUUUGUAAAAGUAAUAAAGAUUCUCUUGUGGAUUUUUUCA
rnacentral:lncRNA from 1 species